GAUGAAGAACGUAGCGAAAUGUGAUAAGUAAUGUGAAUUGCAGAAUUCAGUGAAUCAUCGAAUCUUUGAACGCACAUUGCGCCCGCCAGUAUUCUGGCGGGCAUGCCUGUCCGAGCGUCAUUUCAACCCUCGAACCCCUCCGGGGGGUCGGCGUUGGGGACCUCGGGAGCCCCUAAGACGGGAUCCCGGCCCCGAAAUACAGUGGCGGUCUCGCCGCAGCCUCUCCUGCGCAGUAGUUUGCACAACUCGCACCGGGAGCGCGGCGCGUCCACGUCCGUAAAACACCCAACUUCUGAAAUGUUGACCUCGGAUCAGGUAGGAAUACCCGCUGAACUUAAGCAUAUCAAUAAGCGGAGGA
rnacentral:misc_RNA from 1 species